rnacentral:lncRNA from 1 species
CAGGGAUUUAAUAUUAACAUAUGAAUUUUGCUAUUUGUACCUUGGCAUAAUUCAUCUAGCAAAUGGGUAAAUGAGUUUAAAAAAUGGGUAACCUAAUCCGGAUCCAACAAAAAUAAUACCCGGUAAUCCAAAAUUGAUAUCAAUUAUCAUUUCCGUUGCCCGCGAGUUUCUCUCAAUCCCAAUAAUGAAAUCGUUGUACCACCCAUCCAAAAUUCUUUCGUUAGUUCUGGUGGGCACUAUCCAACCGCGAGAUAUUUGAUAGCACAGAGCCGAAACUUAUUGGACGAAAAAGCAAUGAGGUUCACGCUAAAAGCAAACAAUAAGCUGAAAUCUUCACUGAUUCGAAGUGACGACUGACAAAGGUAUUUCCUGUCCUCAUUUUAAUGUGAAAAUUGGGGUGGGUGACGACAAAUUUCAAACGGAAUAUAAUAUUAUGAUCAACUGUGAAUAUGUUAAAAAUAUGUAACUACGCUAUGAAUAUGCUAAAAAUCUAUAAACCCAUUCCUAAUCCAAAAAUUCAUGCCAAUCAUUUUGUUUCUUUAAUUAUCUUUUAGGUUGAUAUAUAAUGAUAAGCGAUUAGUGUUUGGAGGUGUAUUGAUACAACGAAGCAUUGACCCCGUGUUAGAUUGAAUGAGUAUCUUGUAUCAAUUGAUGAUGUAGGGAAAGGAAUUUCGAAAGAGGUAGAUGACAAUAUCUUGUUAGAAUUUGAUAAUGAGAACAUUUUGCACAGCAUGAACUUAGUGGAUGAUGGAAUUAUUCGGGUAGAUGUUGCGAUUGUGUUUGAGGUGGGAAUGAAGUUCAGCAAUAACAAAAAAAAAAUGUAUAAUUUUUGCAAAAGAUAUGCGUGCAACAUAGGAUUCCCAGUUAGGAAAAGAAAUUCAUAAAAAGAUGAUGAUGAAGUUGUGAGAUAUGUUGUGUUCACAUAUAUCCGCGAAAGCCGAAGAAACAACAAUACAAGUGAUUCUUUGAUAGUGCAAGCUACCAUUCAAACAGGUUGUGAAGCUAGAUUGAUUGCAUCUACAUAUGCAUGUGGGAUAUAGAGAAUUAACGUAGUCAAUCUCAUUCACAAUCAUAAAAUAAGUUCUUCAAAGUCUAGGUUGUAUCAUUGUAAUCGAGAAUUAAAUACCCAUGUUAAACGAUGGGUUGAAGUGAACGAUAUGGCUAAGAUCUCUUUGCACAAAAGUUACAACUCCGUAGUUAUAGAAGCAGGUGGGUAUGAGAAUAUAACUUGCGUGAAAAAUGAUUGUUGAAAUUAUGUUGAACAAGUGAGGUGGUUAAGACUUUAGGAAUGAGAUGCACGAGCAAUACAAUCUUACUUCUCGGACAUGCAAGCAAGGUGCUAGGGAUAUUACUUUAGUAUGGAUCUAGAUGACAAAUCGCUGCUGACGAAUAUUUUUGGACAGAUAAUAGGAGCAGACAAGCAUAUAAGGAGUUCGAAAACAUUAUAACAUUUGAUAGCAAGUUAGAUUGGAGGUGUAUUGAAACAAUGAAGCAUUGACACCGUGUUAGAUUGAAUGAGUAUCUUGUAUCAAUUGAUGAUGCAGGGAAAGGAAUUUCGAAAGAGGUAGAUGACAAUAUCUUUCUAAAAUUUGAUAAUGAGAACAUUUUGCACAGCAUGGACUUAGUGGAUGAUGGAAUUAUUCGGGUAGACGGUGCGAUUGAGUCUGAGGUGGGAAUGAAGUUCAGCAAUAACAAAAAAAAAAUGUAUAAUUUUUGCAAAAGAUAUGCGUGCAACAUACGAUUCCCAGUUAGGAAAAGAAAUUCACAAAAAGAUGAUGAUGAAGUUGUGAGAUAUGUUGUGUUCACAUAUAUCCGCGAAAACCGAAGAAACAACAAUACAAGCGAUUCUUUGAUAGUGCAAGCUACCAUUCAAACAUGUUGUGAAGCUAGAUUGAUUGCAUCUACAGAUGCAUGUGGGAUAUAGAGAAUUAACGUAGUCAAUCUCAUUCACGAUCAUAAAAUAAGUUCUUCAAAGUCUAGGUUGUAUCAUUGUAAUCGAGAAUUAAAUACCCAUGUUAAACGAUGGGUUGAAGUGAACGAUAUGGCUAAGAUCUCUUUGCACAAAAGUUACAACUCCGUAGUUAUAGAAGCAGGUGGGUAUGAGAAUAUAACUUGCGUAAAAAAUUAUUGUUGAAAUUAUGUUGAACAAGUGAGGUGGUUAAGACUUUAGGAAUGAGAUGCACGAGCAAUACAAUCUUACUUCUUGGACAUGCAAGCAAGGUGCUAGGGAUAUUACUUUAGUAUGGAUCUAGACGACAAAUCGCUGCUGACGAAUAUUUUUGGACAGAUAAUAGGAGCAGGCAAGCAUAUAAAGAGUUCGACAACAUUAUAACAUUUGAUAGCACGUACGCAACUAAUAAGUAUGACAUUCCGUUUGCACUUUGGUUGAAGUUAAUCAUCACGGACAUUCAACACUAUUUAAUUGUGGUUUGAUGUCGAAUGAAAAUAUAGAAAUAUUUGUAUAGCUGUUCAAGAUUUGGUUGUAGUGCAUGCAUGGCCAAGCAUCCCAUAGGAUUAUUGCAGAUCAAGACAAUGCCAUGCAGAAUGUAAUUCAGAUCGUUUUUCUAAACACGAAGCAUUGAUAAUAUUUGUGGCAAUAUUGAAAAAGUUACCGAAAAAGUUUGGAUACCACGUGGAUAAGGGUGGAAUUGUUGCUACUAUACACGUAUUGGUGUAUGAUUCUCAAACUGUUGAAAAACUUGAAUAAGGUUGGGAGUGAUAAUCGAUACAUAUAACUUCCACGAUAAUGAUUGGUUGUCGAGAAUGUACUCGAACAGAGGCUGUUAGGUACAUUGCUAUUUAAAAAGCGCUUUUUUGGGCAGGAAUGCCAACAAUUCAACAUAAUGAGAGCAUACAUGCACUAUUCGAUAGGUAUGUGUAUUUAAAGAUGUCGUUGAAGCAAUCUGCCAAACAAUACGAGCGAGCAUUGAGAAAUGAGGCAGAAAAGGAGUUUCGGGUAGAUUUCAAGUUAUACUUGCAAUAGUACCAUGUGCAACAAUGUAAGAGAUGGAGAAGCACUUUCAACUAGUUUAUACCAUUUUGAAAUUCAGGAAAGUUCAUGAUAAAUUCAUUGGGAAGGUUUAUUGUGACCUAAUUUCUUCUUUAGAGGGCUUUACGGGGACGGUGUAUGAGUUAUAGGAGGAUGUCACAGGAUCGAAGUAUUAUAAAAAAAAAAUUCAUCACAUUUUAGAAAAAGAAAUGUAAAUUUGCUUGCAGUUGCCACUUAUUCGAGUUUUAAGGAAUAAUUUGCAAGCAUGCAAUUGUUGUACUUAUCCAUAAAAACAUCACAGCACCAUCGAACAAAUACAUAUUAGGAGAUCGAGGAAAUAUGUGAGUAUAGACCACAUAAGGGUCGCAUUUGGACUAUGAUUGGUUGAGUAGCACUCCUAGAUAGUUAUGAUAUGACAAAAUGUGUCAAUUAUUUGCAUUGCUCGGGGACAUGGCUAUAGAUGAUGGCAAUCAAACCCGUGCGGUAAUGGAGUGGAUUGAAUGCAAUAAGUGAGCCUUGAAGACAAUGAGGUCGAGUUGCGAAAGUAAUGGCACGUCCCAGCAAGAAGUUCAAACGGCUUUGGAUGCUAGAGUAUCACAGCAUACCAGUAGAGAAAGCAUACAUUAUCGAACAUCUCGAAGAGAAAAGGUGCACUGUAGAAAUUUCGAAAGAAAAGCCCUUUGAAAUCAAGUUCCAAUAAACCAAAGGUAAGUUGUCUUAAUUAAUUUAUUUAGUAUGGAAGUGCGUACGGGUACUAGUGACGAUACAUUAGGAAAUUUGCAGGCAACCCCGAGUUCAGCAAAUGAAAGAAGACUGAAGACACGAUAAUGUGAACUAGGAGAUGGUGCAUCAGAUGUUCAAGCACAUCAAAAAGCACAACACCAAAUUUCGGCACCGAUCUCAUGUUCACAACUCUUACUAGUUCGUAUAAUAAGAUUGUUCAAUGCAUUUGGUUGACACUUUUUACUUACAUUUUUAUUUGAUGUAGGGUGAAAACGAUAGUAAUGUAUUUGUACAAAACUCAUAGUCUCCCAAUUUUAUCCCUCCGGCUUCACCAAAUGUUAUAUUCAAUAGUCUAAGGUAAUGAUAUGGUGAAAAUAUGUAAUUUAAAAUCCUGAAUUUCUCCAGUUUGUGUAUUAACUUUAAAGUUUGUCGGUAGAAAAUGCAAUGCCAUACUACUAUCCAAAUGUACCUAAUCAACAUGGUGAACACUUGUGAUAUUGGAUGAAGACAAUGGCUGGACUAAUGUGGACUACAGACAGUUCUUCAGUAUGUAAUUGUAUUUGAUUGAAAGUGCAAAAAAGUUGUUUAAUGUAACAACUAACAAGUGUAGUUUAUAUUUUUGCCUACUAUUUAGUGGCUGUUUAUUAAUAUUUUGAUGUAUUUAGUUUGAGUUCUUCAAAUACUUGUACUAAAUUAUUGAAGUUUGGCUGAAAACUCCACGA